GUCUUCUCCAUGAGCUCCUUUCUGUCCAUUGGUGGCAGUUUAUGGAUUCGCACGAGAAGAAGAGCCAAUUCACAGAGCUAGCGUUCUUAGUUUACCUUCUGUCUUCACAGAGGUAAAGUUCUGCUGUUCUGUGAGACAUUU